CAGCUGGAUUUGUUUUGAAUGGAGUAAAAAUUGUUUAUGAUUUCCUGAUUUCCAUAUUAUUGUUGGAAAGGUGAAGCAUUUCCAAAAAGCUAACGCUAAACGACUAAAUGCUUGGGUGGGGUGAUAGCCAGUUCUGACGACAUAGCAAAUGCACAUUGUAUGCAUAUGGCCGGUAAUAGUAAAGUAUGCCCAGGGCAAGACAGACGAAGAAGAACCCAAUGCAUGUACAUAUGUUACAGCUACAUGGUUUGGAGAUAGCAACAUAUGCAUUCUCUGAUGAAAAACUAAUGAGUUUUGAAACUGUUCGGUCAGAGUGCUUGUUGCGCUCACUAAACGAACUGAAAUAUAAGACGGUUUUGGCAUUGUGUUGCAGCGAUAUAGAAAAUGGCUAUUCAUUUUUAAUUAUAAUGUACUUCUUCAUCAUGAGUAAUUAUGUAUUGGGCUUUUAAAUGUGUAUUUAUUUUUGUAAUUAAUAUCAACUUGUAAUGAUAAUAUACAUUUAUCGUUUAAGGUACGACUAUGUUUUGACUCUAAAAUAAAUGUUUUAAAAAUCGAA
rnacentral:lncRNA from 1 species